rnacentral:rRNA from 1 species
UAGGGAAUCUUCCGCAAUGGACGCAAGUCUGACGGAGCAACGCCGCGUGAGUGAAGAAGGAUUUCGGUUCGUAAAACUCUGUUGUUAGAGAAGAACAGCGCAUAGAGUAACUGUUAUGCGUGUGACGGUAUCUAACCAGAAAGCCACUGCUAACUACGUGCCAGCAGCCGCGGUAAUACGUAGGUGGCAAGCGUUGUCCGGAUUUAUUGGGCGUAAAGCGAGCGCAGGCGGUCAAUUAAGUCUGAUGUGAAAGCCCCCGGCUCAACCGGGGAGGGUCAUUGGAAACUGGUUGACUUGAGUGCAGAAGAGGAGAGUGGAAUUCCAUGUGUAGCGGUGAAAUGCGUAGAUAUAUGGAGGAACACCAGUGGCGAAGGCGACUCUCUGGUCUGUAACUGACGCUGAGGCUCGAAAGCGUGGGUAGCAAACAGG